rnacentral:rRNA from 1 species
GCGUGCAGGAUGAAGGCCUUCGGGUUGUAAACUGCUUUUGUACGGAGCGAAAAGGCUUCCACUAAUACUGGGGGCUCAUGACGGUACCGUAAGAAUAAGCACCGGCUAACUACGUGCCAGCAGCCGCGGUAAUACGUAGGGUGCGAGCGUUAAUCGGAAUUACUGGGCGUAAAGCGUGCGCAGGCGGUCUUGUAAGACAGGUGUGAAAUCCCCGGGCUUAACCUGGGAACUGCACUUGUGACUGCAAGGCUGGAGUACGGCAGAGGGGGAUGGAAUUCCGCGUGUAGCAGUGAAAUGCGU